GAUGGGUCUGCGGCCUAUCAGGUAGUAGUGGGUGUAACGUACCUACUAGCCUACGACGGGUAAGGGUUGUGAGAGCAAGAGCCCUGAGAUGGAUUCUGAGACAUGAAUCCAGGCCCUACGGGGUGCAGCAGGCGCGAAAACUUUACACUGCGGGAAACCGCGAUAAGGGGACCCCGAGUGCCAGCACCUAGUGCUGGCUGUCCAGCUGUUCAAAAAACAGUUGUUAGCAAGGGCCGGGCAAGACCGGUGCCAGCCGCCGCGGUAACACCGGCGGCCCGAGUGGUAGCCGUUAUUAUUGGGUUUAAAGGGUCCGUAGCCGGCCUAUUAAGUCUCUUGGGAAAUCUGGCGACUCAAUCGUCAGGCGUUCAAGAGAUACUGUUAGGCUUGGGACCGGGAGAGGUGGGAGGUACUCCAGGGGUAGGGGUGAAAUCUCGUAAUCCUUGGGGGACCACCGAUGGCGAAGGCAUCCCACCAGAACGGGUCCGACGGUGAGGGACGAAAGCUGGGG
rnacentral:rRNA from 1 species